UACGAAGGUGGCAAGCGUUGUUCGGAUUUACUGGGCGUACAGGGAGCGUAGGCGGUUGGAUAAGCCCUCCGUGAAAUCUCCAGGCUUAACCUGGAAAGUGCAGAGGGGGACUGUUCAGCUAGAGGAUGGGGAGAGGAGCGCGGAAUUCCCCGGUGUAGCGGUGAAAUGCGUAGAGAUCGGGGAGGAAGGCCGGUGGCGAAGGCGGCGCUCUGGGAACAUUUUCUGACGCUGAGGCUCGAAAAGCGUGGGGGAGCAAACAGG
rnacentral:rRNA from 1 species